GUUAGCUUUUUGCCUCCUUGGAAGAACCCAAAGACCAGACCAGCCUUGGCUGCCUGUGAUGUUUGGAGAAAUAGUUACUGGAAUUAAAUUUCCAUGUUGUUCCUGGACUCCCUGCUGAAUCUCGGAGAACUAUUUCCCAAGGAAGAAGGAUUGAGUCUGAGUCUUCUGUUCAUCUAGGAUGGGGGGGAGGGGGCAUUGGGACUCAGCGAUACUUAGAGGCUGCUACUGGUGUUGAGAAAUUCUAUUGGCCUAUCCUUCCCUUGGGCAACACCACUCUCGAGUCAAAGGAAUUGUGUUCAGAUCCUGGCACUGUCACUUACUACUGGUGUGAUCCUGGACAAAUCACUUAAUUUCUUUUAGCCUUUGUUUCCUUAUCUGUAAAAUGGAACAGAUAAAUUCUAUAGUCUCUUCUAGUUCUAAAUAUAUGAUCUUAUUAAUCCUCUCCUUUAUCCUCAGUCAUUGAAUAUCAAGAGUUGAAAACAAGUUCAAUAGCCAACUAGUCUUAAUUCAUCCUUGUGUGGGAUAAAAAUCGAUUACAAGUGCCCCACUCACUCAAAUAAACAGAAUCAGAAGGUGUUUAUUCCCCUUCAUGAAAGAAAGCACUCCAACAAUGGGCUAAAAAGUGCCAACUGACUAGGUAGCAAACAGGCAAUAUAUAUCCGAGGUUCCUCCCCUCUCCCUUGUCAGGUCCUCAAACCAGGCUUUGACCUGCAAAUCAAAACACCUGUGCUUCCAACCAAACUCAGGUGAGGCAAGGGAAGCAACCAAGAGGUUCAAGCCCCCUUCUGUCCAUCAUCAGUCUCUCUUACAAACCUGUCACAGAGUCCUGAACCAACAAAAAGGGAACAAACUAGCUUCUAUAAGCUAAAUGCUCACUCUGAGAAUAACACACUCAAUUCUAUCCCACACAAUACAGAAAAAACAGAUUCUGCUACAAUAUACCCAGCAAGUGGUCAACCAGCCUUUGAAGACAUUUGCUGUUGUUCGGCUGUGUUCGAUUCUUCUUGACCCCAUUGUUUUCGUGGCAAAGAUACUGGAGUUUUCCUUCUUGGGCUUAUUUUACAGGUUCCUACUCUGGGGUUUUCUGACCAUCCUUGGACCAUUCUGGGACUUUGGGAGAGGAGAUUGGCUUUUGCUGCCAAGGGACCACACAGCCAUGGACUCUGUCAUUCUAGGAAGUCAUGCUGGUUUGCCUGCAAAUUGGUGAUGACUUUGUUGGCCCUUCAGCUAUUGCUAGUGGGUUUCUGGCUGACAUUUUGUAUAGUUCUAGGAUAGAAGAAGUCACUAUAAAUUUUCAAUGGACUUUUAGUUUAUUAUGCAGUUUGUUGGGACUUUUAGGUUUUUACUGGCACAAUAUGUGGGAGCUGGCCUGCUUGUCUCUUUUCAGGCAGUCAUUUUGUCCAGAGGUCCAAGAAAACGACUUUUAAUACCUGCCUUCAGCACUUUGGCAUAUACCUCCUGUUCCUAUGUUUUAUGUAAAUCCUAAAGUCUGGGCUGAUUGGAAAAGACUGAAAAUGAUGAUAACUUUUGGCUCAUUUUCUCCUAGCAACAAACCACAGUCUGGUCUCUCUCUGUUCUUACAACGCAGAUGCAUACCUUGUUGAUAUUCAUGAAUUGUUUAUAAAAAGUAUUAUAGGAAUGUGAAAUUCUUAACUGUUUUAAGC
rnacentral:lncRNA from 1 species